GAGUUUGAUCAUGGCUCAGGAUGAACGCUGACGGCGUGCUUAACACAUGCAAGUCGAACGGACUCAUGUUGAAACCUAGUGAUGUAUGAGUUAGUGGCGGACGGGUGAGUAACGCGUGGAGAACCUGCCGUAUACUGGGGGAUAACACUUAGAAAUAGGUGCUAAUACCGCAUAAGCGCACAGCUUUGCAUGAAGCAGUGUGGAAAACAAAAAGCUAAAGCUUUUGGUGGUAUACGAUGGAUCCGCGUCUGAUUAGCUGGUUGGCGGGGUAAAGGCCCACCAAGGCGACGAUCAGUAGCCGGCCUGAGAGGGUGAACGGCCACAUUGGGACUGAGACACGGCCCAAACUCCUACGGGAGGCAGCAGUGGGGAAUAUUGCACAAUGGGGGAAACCCUGAUGCAGCGACGCCGCGUGAGUGAAGAAGUAUUUCGGUAUGUAAAGCUCUAUCAGCAGGGAAGAAAAUGACGGUACCUGACUAAGAAGCCCCGGCUAACUACGUGCCAGCAGCCGCGGUAAUACGUAGGGGGCAAGCGUUAUCCGGAUUUACUGGGUGUAAAGGGAGCGUAGACGGCAGCGCAAGUCUGGAGUGAAAUCCCAUGGCUUAACCAUGGAACUGCUUUGGAAACUGUGCAGCUAGAGUGCAGGAGAGGUAAGCGGAAUUCCUAGUGUAGCGGUGAAAUGCGUAGAUAUUAGGAGGAACACCAGUGGCGAAGGCGGCUCACUGGACUGUAACUGACGUUGAGGCUCGAAAGCGUGGGGAGCAAACAGGAUUAGAUACCCUGGUAGUCCACGCCGUAAACGAUGAUUACUAGGUGUCGGGGGGCCAAGGCCCUUCGGUGCCGGCGCAAACGCAUUAAGUAAUCCACCUGGGGAGUACGUUCGCAAGAAUGAAACUCAAAGGAAUUGACGG
rnacentral:rRNA from 1 species